CCAGCGUCCCUGCUAUGGAUCGUAGGAGCCGACCCCCUGGUCGUUGCCUGUGAUCCAUGCAGGUUCCUAGCUG
ncrna:Eptesicus fuscus (big brown bat) microRNA efu-mir-9191 precursor (efu-mir-9191-1)